rnacentral:rRNA from 1 species
GAUGAACGCUGGCGGCGUGCCUAAUACAUGCAAGUCGAGCGAACAGACGAUGAGCUUGCUCCUCUGACGUUAGCGGCGGACGGGUGAGUAACACGUGGAUCACCUACCUAUAAGACUGGGAUAACUUCGGGAAACCGGAUCUACUACCGGAUAAUAUAUUGUACCGCAUGGUUCAAUAGUGAAAGACGGUUUUGCUGUCACUUUUAGAUGGAUCCGCGCCGCAUUAGCUAGUUGGUAAGGUAACGGCUUACCAAGGCAACGAUGCGUAGCCGACCUGAGAGGGUGAUCGGCCAAACUGGACCUGAGACACGGUCCAGACUCCUACGGGAGGCAGCAGUAGGGAAUCUUCCGCAAUGGGCGAAAGCUUGACGGAGCAACGCCGCGUGAGUGAUGAAGGUCUUCGGAUCGUAAAACUCUGUUAUUAGGGAAGAACAAAUGUGUAAGUAACCAUGCACGUCUUGACGGUACCUAAGCAGAAAGCCACGGCUAACUACGU